rnacentral:snRNA from 1 species
AUACCUUUCUCGGCCUUUUGGCUAAGAUCAAGUGUAGUAUCUGUUCUUAUCAGUUUAAUAUCUGAUAUGUGGGUCAUGUGUCCAUAAUGAUAUUAAAUUUAUUUUUUGUGGGGAAGGGCCCAUCACAGUGGCUUGCCACUGGGGCUUGCCACUGGGGCCCUUGCGUGUCGCCCAGGCGUUGCACUGCUGCCUGAGCCCGGCGCACCCCAA